CGGCUGCGUCGUUCCCCUCGAAAAGGCAAUCGAAUACUGGGAGCAAAGGCUGGAGGAGGCAGCAGAUGUGCAGAGAUUCAAGGCCUGCGUCGAGCUAGUGCCGCUAUGCUGGGGUUUUGACAGAAAGAAAAGGCCCACGAUAGAGAGGAUUCUCGACACGCUGAACUACACAGACAUUUCAGUGCAGCAGAAAGGACGACGACAGGCCGGCGCUGACGAUCCGCAGCCGCCUGAAAAGAGUAGGCUGGAGGGAGGUGCAGGAGGCGAGCUCCGUGACAUCAACGGCAUGGAGGUGCCACACCGUCUGAAGGCGGUUUGGCUCAAGCACGGCGCUGUCGUCGACUCGCUCAAGUUCUCCUACACCGACGGCGACGGCCGCGAACACCACGCAGGCCCAUGGGGCAGUCCAGACGCCUGGGACAAGGUCCUUCAGCUGGAGCCUUACGAGUUCCUGGUCAGCGUCUCCGGGACGAUGGGCGCAUACGCGGGCCUGCCGACCAAGGUCAUCAGCUCGCUCACAUUUGUCACCAAUGUGAAGACCUACAGAACGCGCGGGGUGACCGAGGGAGAUCCCUUCGAGUUGGAAGCGCCUGCCGGGUCCUGCAUCGUUGGCUUCCGCGCGCGUGCAGGAGACUUUCUCGACGCGCUCGCUGUCUACCAUCGCCCUAUCUCUCACCGUCUCUAAUAAUCAGCCUACUUCAUCAACGCUGGCUCGGCUACUGCGAUACUUCGGCUUCCGCGAUCCUAGAUUGUUUGCUUUUCAUUCAUCUGAAAAUUACAAUGAUCAUCGGCUGC
rnacentral:misc_RNA from 1 species